ensembl:lncRNA
CGCCGGGACGCGGGCGCUGGGUUCCUCUGCAAAGAGCAGCGUAGCAGAGCGGUUGGGAGAGCUGUGCUGGACAGAGGACGGCCGGCCGCGAGCGGAGCCUCCCACCGGCGAGCAUUGCCAGGCGAGGAGAGAAAACCUGGGCAGCCUUAAAACACUCAGAGUGUAAUGUGACGCUUCCAAACCUUUGCAGCCUGCGGGCGAAAGUCUGCUCGAGGAGCCUGAAGACGCACCAUCCCCACUUAUCGCCCCAGAGGCAGGCUAUCUAGCUGACAAGCUGUGCGGUGAAAAACCAGGUGCCCAUGUGCCUGCUGCUCACCCAAGGCCUGAAAGGGAUCAGCUGCUCAUUUUGCAGAGCAAAGUAAGAUGGCAACAAGGAGUGCUUUCCUGGUGCCAGAUUUCAUCUGAAAUUGGUCCUAUGCUGAACAAGUUGGGGCCACUGAGAAGCAGAAAGUGGAUGAAGCAAGAUCCUAAAAGGGAAAGACCAAUGUUUUAUUUACUACAAUAAACCCUAAACCCAG